CAGAUGGAGAAAUGGAAAGGUUACGGUCACCAUCUUCUGAAAUACAUAAUUUUAUGAUUCUGGAUUUUUGACUCUCCAACUUGAAACUCCUCAGAUGAAAUUUCCAGCAGUGCUGGGCACUUAAAAGGAGAUAAACAUUUUAACAAUGGCUGGAUAGAAAGUCUGAACUAGAGGAAACCUGAUGUGGAAUUUACUUGAGGCAGAGAUAGCACCCCGUGCUGUGACCGGGUCACCUCUCACAAACGAAGUAAGGCAACCCAUGUGUGCUGUGGAAAUUAUAACAACUCAGUACUUGGCAGGGACCUGCAAACAUAUGGAAGGAUCUUGACCUUUCCUCAGAGCAAUUUAGAGCAGUGAAAAGAUCCCAGAACCAAGAAAUGACUGUGGAAGACCCACCCCCCCACUGUAGCAGAGUGCCUGCAAUGCAUAAGAAAGCGGCCAAGAUGCACAAGGGUGGACAUGUUUCGUGAGGAAAUGCAUGAUAAAAAUAAAUGGAGAGAAACCAUGACAAAGUGGAAAGAGGGAGAGAACCGAGACUGAAAAGAGACUAAUGCUUUCCAUAGGGAAGCCACGGAGAGGCUAACCAUGUUUUGGAGCAUCAGACAGAUACGUUGCAUUCUCUCAUUACACUGCAGAGUGACCUGAUCCGUGCCCACUCCCCACUACAGCAAAUGCAGAAUUCUUUCCCAUGCACUCCCCAAACUCCCACUGCACAUUCUUAUAGGCUCACUGCAAAUUUUUUCCAUUCCCCCCACAAUCCACACCUCCAGACAGCUUGUCAAAUGACAGCUGAAGUUAUAAACAGCUGUGAGGUGUACGGGUCCCCCACCCUAUUCACCACCAUCACUGAGGGUGGAUAUAUGUGAAUGUGGUGUGUUCUCUUCUUUUUUUUUUUUAAAUAAAAGCACAAUUUUUUC